UACGAAGGGUGCAAACGUUGCUCGGAAUCAUUGGGCGUAAAGCGCACGUAGGCGGCUUGCCAAGUCGGACGUGAAAUCCCUCAGCUCAACUGAGGACGUGCAUCCGAAACUGGCGAGCUUGAGUACUGAAGAGGAUCGCGGAAUUCCCGGUGUAGAGGUGAAAUUCGUAGAUAUCGGGAGGAACACCAGUGGCGAAGGCGGCGACCUGGGCCAAUAUUGACGCUGAGGUGCGAAAGCGUGGGGAGCAAACAGG
rnacentral:rRNA from 1 species